CAAAGGUCAACUAUAUUUGGUGUAUGGAAAUAUAUUAUGAUCUAUAUGUCAGUCCCACAGGUUUUAUUUGACCAUGACCUCAAUUGCACGGUUCAUUGCACAGUGUUAAGUUUUUGUGUUUUGGUCUAUUUUUCUUAAACUAUAAGUAGUAGGUCAACUAUAUUUGUUGUAUGGAAGCUUUGUUAGCUGGACAUGUCUGCCUGGCAUGGUUCAUCUGACCUUGACCUCAUUCUCGUGAUUCAUUGGUCUUUGUUUAGCUAUCUUGGUUAAUGUUAUGUUUAUGUGACAGUUGUAAUAAAGCUUUAUACUUAGGACUAUCAACAUAAUAUCAAUGAUCAGUAAAGAAGGCGAGACAUUUCAGUGUGUG
rnacentral:lncRNA from 1 species